GACAGAGGUGGCAAGCGUUGUUCGGAAUUACUGGGGCGUAAAGAGUCUGUAGGUGGUUUGUCAAGUCUUUGGUGAAAGGCCGUAGCUUAACUAUGGGAAUGCCAAAGAGACUGGCAGGCUGGAGGCUGGGAGAGGGAAGCGGAAUUUCUGGUGUAGCGGUGAAAUGCGUAGAUAUCAGAAGGAAGGCCGGUGGCGAAGGCGGCUUCCUGGAACAGUCCUGACACUGAGAGACGAAAGCGUGGGGAGCAAACAGGAUUAGAUACCCUGGUAGUCCACGCCCUAAACGAUGGGUACUAAGUGUGGAGGGGAUAAAUCCUCCGUGCCGCAGCAAACGCAGUAAGUACCCCGCCUGGGGAGUACGGUCGCAAGGUUGAAACUCAAAGGAAUUGACGGGGGCCCGCACAAGCGGUGGAGCAUGUGGUUUAAUUCGACGCAACGCGAGGAGCCUUACCUAGGCUUGACAUGGGGUCACUAGCGCACCGAAAGGGGAGCGGCCCGUCAAAUCGGGCAAUCACACAGGUGCGGCAUGGCUGUCAUCAGCUCCUGCCGUGAGGUCUUGGGUUCACUCCCGCAACGAGCGCAACCCUCGCCCGUAGCGCCCAUCGGGUAAAGCCGGGCACUUUAAGGGGACCGCCAGCGUCAAGCCGGAGGAAGGAAAGGAUGACGUCAAGUCAUCAUGGCCCUUAUGCUUAGGGCCACCCCCGGGCAACAAUGGCCGGUACAGACGGAGGCAAUGCCGAGAGGCGGAGCAAACCCGAGAAAACCGCUCCCAGUUCGGAUGGAGGUCUGCAACUCGACCUCAGGAAGUGGGAAUCGCUAGUAAUCGCAGAUCAGAACGAUGCGGUGAAUACGUUCCCGGGCCU
rnacentral:rRNA from 1 species